rnacentral:rRNA from 1 species
AUGAUGAGUGAAGAAUAUCAAAUGUCUAUGAUGGGAGAGUUGACAUUCUUCUUAGGUCUUCAAAUUCGUCAGCAGCGCAAUGGCAUAUUCAAAUCUCAGGAGAAAUACCUCAAAGAUGUACUGAGGAAAUUCGGCAUGCAAGAUUGCAAAGGCGUCAAAAUUCCUAUGCCCACAAAUGGCCAUCUAUGCACUGAUGAAAAUGGUAUUGACUUCGAUCACAAGGUAUACCGCUCCAUGAUUGGUUCUUUAUUGUACUUAUGUGCAUCUAGGCCAGAUAUAAUGCUUAGUGUUUGCAUGUGUGCCCGAUUUCAAGCUGCACCGAAGGAAUCACACCAUAAAGCUGUGAAGCAUAUUCUUUGA